rnacentral:rRNA from 1 species
GGUUAAAAAGCUCGUAGUUGGAUCUCGGCAAGUAGAGGGCGGUAUGCUUCGUAGCAUUACUGCCCUAUUACUUGUAGUUUUGCCAGAGGUUCCUGGGUGCUCUUAAUCGAGUGUCUAGGGAUGCUGGCAGGUUUACUUUGAAAAAAUUAGAGUGCUCAAAGCAGGCUAUUACGCUUGAAUAUUCGUGCAUGGAAUAAUAGGAUAGGAAGUUGUUUCUAUUUUGUUGGUUUUCGGAAAUCGACUUAAUGAUUAAUAGGGACAGUCGGGGGCAUCUGUAUUCAAACGACAGAGGUGAAAUUCUUGGACCGUUUGAAGACAAACUACUGCGAAAGCAUUUGCCAAGAAUGUUUUCAUUAAUCAAGAACGAAAGUUAGAGGUUCGAAGGCGAUUAGAUACCGCCCUAGUUCUAACCAUAAACGAUGCCAGCUAGCGAUCUGAGGACGUUUUUUUUGUAGACUCCUCAGGAAGCUUCCGGGGAACCAAAGCGUGUGGGUUCCGGGGGAAGUAUGGUUGCAAAGCUGAAACUUAAAGGAAUUGACGGAAGGGCACCACCAGGAGUGGAGCCUGCGGCUUAAUUUGACUCAACACGGGAAAUCUCACCAGGCCCGGACACUGGAAGGAUUGACAGAUUGAGAGCUCUUUCUC